CAGCAGCCGCGGUAAUACCAGCACCUCGAGUGGUCAGGAGGUUUAUUGGGCCUAAAGCAUCCGUAGCCGGUUGCAUAAGUUUUCGGUUAAAUCUAUGCGCUUAACGUAUAGGCCGCCGAAAAUACUGUGCAGCUAGGGAGUGGGAGAGGUACACGGUACUCGAUAGGAAGGGGUAAAAUCCUUUGAUCUAUUGAUGACCACCUGUGGCGAAGGCGGUGUACCAGAACACGUUCGACGGUGAGGGAUGAAAGCUGGGGGAGCAAACCGGAUUAGAUACCCCAGUAGUCCCUGUCUCUUAUAC
rnacentral:rRNA from 1 species